rnacentral:rRNA from 1 species
GUGAACGCUGGCGGUAGGCCUAACACAUGCAAGUCGAACGGCAGCACAGUAAGAGCUUGCCCUUACGGGUGGCGAGUGGCGGACGGGUGAGGAAUACAUCGGAAUCUACUUUUUCGUGGGGGAUAACGUAGGGAAACUUACGCUAAUACCGCAUACGACCUACGGGUGAAAGCAGGGGAUCUUCGGACCUUGCGCGAUUGAAUGAGCCGAUGUCGGAUUAGCUAGUUGGCGGGGUAAAGGCCCACCAAGGCGACGAUCCGUAGCUGGUCUGAGAGGAUGAUCAGCCACACUGGAACUGAGACACGGUCCAGACUCCUACGGGAGGCAGCAGUGGGGAAUAUUGGACAAUGGGCGCAAGCCUGAUCCAGCCAUACCGCGUGGGUGAAGAAGGCCUUCGGGUUGUAAAGCCCUUUUGUUGGGAAAGAAAGGCAGCAGGUUAAUACCCCGCUGUUCUGACGGUACCCAAAGAAUAAGCACCGGCUAACUUCGUG